rnacentral:lncRNA from 1 species
UUGUGUGAAUUACAAUAUGAAAAAAAAACAAAAAGAAUUAGCAGAUGAUGAUAUAUUGUUGUAUAAAGAGAAGUUAAACAAAAAAUGAUGACCUGAUGAUAGAAGUACUAUUUUUAUUAUGUCUUUGUUAUAUUCAUUCGUCCAUAUAUAUAGCUAUUUCAAUUUUUUUAUUUUUAAUAUUAUCGUGUUCGGACAUUAUUUUGUUUAUUAUUAUUAUUAUUAUUAUUAUUAUUAUUAUUAUUAUUAUUAUUAUUAUUAUUAUUAUUAUUAUUAUUUUUUUUUUUUUUUUUUUUUUUUUUUUUUUUUUUUUUUUUUUUUUUUGCUUUAUAGGUUUUCGAAAACUUUCACCACAUGGUCAAAAGCAUUGAUGAUUUUUUUUAUAAAGAUGAAGACCUAAAUGUGUUUCAAAAAAAGUUUAACAAAAACAAGGAAAUGUACAAUGCACUUGUGGAAAAAGUUGCUACACAAAACAAAAAAAUUGAAUGGAAAAAAGAUGAUCUUUUGUCUAUGACCGACGAGCAAAGAGAAGAAUUAAAAAUGCACCAAGAAUAUAUUAAGCAUCAAAUUUUAGAACUUAAUAAAAAGAUAGAAUGGGAUAAGUUAGAAGCAGAAAGGAAAAAAAAAAGAAUUAGAAGAAGAAGAGGAAAGGGAAAGAAAAAAAAAAGAAUUAGAAGAAGAAGAGGAAAGGGAAAGAAAAAAAAAAGAAUUAGAAGAAGAAAAGGAAAGGGAAAGGCAAAAAAAAGUAUUAGAAGAAGAGGAGAAAGAAAAACAAAAAAAAGCAUUAGAAGCAGAAGAGGAGAAAAGAAGACUAAAAAAAAUAUUAGAAGAAGAAGAAGAGGAAAGAGAGAGGCAAAGACAAGAACUGGAAGAACAAGCAAAUUGUAUAAAUUAUGA